UACGUAGGGUCCGAGCGUUGCCCGGAAUUACUGGGCGUAAAGAGCUCGUAGGUGGUUUGUCGCGUUGUUCGUGAAAACUCACAGCUCAACUGUGGGCGUGCGGGCGAUACGGGCAGACUAGAGUACUGCAGGGGAGACUGGAAUUCCUGGUGUAGCGGUGGAAUGCGCAGAUAUCAGGAGGAACACCGGUGGCGAAGGCGGGUCUCUGGGCAGUAACUGACGCUGAGGAGCGAAAGCGUGGGGAGCGAACAGG
rnacentral:rRNA from 1 species